UUCUGGUGACCCUAACAGGGAUUCGCCAUGCUCAGUGCGCUGACCAGAAGUAGAAAAAUAGGGAUAACUGGGUGGUACACCUUACUCAGAGCUCUUGAAGACGCUGACCAAUGGGGAAGCUAUUCGUAUUCAGGUCUGAGAGUGUGAAGCAGUAAGGCAAGUGGCCCAGCAAGCAGGUCAGAGGUCAGUCAGAGGUCAAUCAGGCACCUGAAACCUGUGAAUCCAAGUGAGCAUCUCUCUGCCUCUGUAGUAGAUUGUCACAGCCGUAGCCGUCCCCCCACCCCAUGAACUACCCCUUAGUAUUCACUCCUUGGGAAGUCCCCUCCCCUUGAUACUACAGUGGCAUUGUGACUGGCCUUUGCCAAUAAGAUAGAGUGGAAGUACAUUGUGCCAGUUGCAGCCCUAAGCCUUAAGAAGCUACGCAGGUUUGGCACUCGGGGCAGCCUGGUGCCACCAUGUAGAGGUUCAGCUACCCUGACGUGAAAAGUCCCUUGUAGAGGCCACGGCAGAAAGGGGGAACCCCAGCCUCCAACUGACCCACUGCCUGAAUGCAGCCACAGGAUCAUAAGUAAGACCAGCAGAAGAACCGCCCAGCUGAUCCCAGCAGAGUGCAGCGUGGUAAGUAAACAAAAUGAAAGUGGUUUUAAGCCUCUAAUUUCUGCAAUGGUUUAUUCCUGAAAUACCCGGUCUAUUCACUUGGCUCUUAUUUCCUUAGGGUGACUAGUCAUCUCAGAUUGCCUGAGAAUGAAGGUGUUUCCCGGACACAGGACUUCCAGUCCUAAAGCCAGAAAAGUCCUGGGCAAACCUGGAUGAGUCGUUCACCCUUCUUCCAACAUCCCAAGUAAAUAGGAGUUUACUUCAGAGGGAGCGUCACCUGUCCCUUAACCUUACCCAUAUUUAUAAAGAAAGGAGAAGAGAUACAGACACUCACAGAGGUCAUGUGCAGACAGACAGAGGGAAGAUGGAAGCAGAGAUUGAAAUAAUGCAGCCACACGCCAGAAACACGGAGGACCACCAGCAAAAUCACAGAAGCCUGGAGAUGGAGCUUGGCCCCAUUCACACCUUGGUGGUGGACUUCUAGCCUCCAGAACAAGAGAACACAUUUCUGUGGAUUCAGACCACCCAGAUUGUGUUUCUUUUGUAGGGCAGGCCUAGAAAACGAAUACAGGAUCCAACCUUUUGCUUCCUACCAGAGAGCAUCUGGGAAAAAUUUAUCCCCCAGUCCACAAAACUGACAAACAGAUUUCCAAAGACAAGAUUUUCAUUAGCUCCAACAGUCUGUUCAUCUGUUGCUUUCUUCUGAAACAAUGUAUUUUUAUAAGCAUAUGAUUUGUCCUUAUUUUCUGUCUGAAUUUAGUAGAAAAAAACAGGAGCUUUUGAGGGAGCCUGUUGCAGGUUGGGGUCUCUGGGAACAGAGCAGAAGCUGAGGUCCAGGUGCAAACCGUGGAGAGCGUUGAGCCACGAGAGGCAGGAGGAAGCAGGGGUUGGCAGAGGAGAAAGUCCAGUGGCCAGGCAGGCCUGGUGGAGUCUUGACCAAUCUGGGAGGGGCUUUAUCACGAGCACUGCCCCUAGUCCUCAUCCGGUUAAUAAGGGCUGUGCCACUCAACCCCUGCCAACCAGUCACUGCAGGAGGGUGGCCAGGA
rnacentral:lncRNA from 12 species